GGCAUGGCACCAGGGGCCCUGGAUGUCCUCACAGCGCGGGUCACAGUCCCGUCCAGUGCAUGUUGGCAUCAGGCCGGCUCCCUGGCUCUGAUGACACUGUCCUGGUUGGAGUAGGUCUCUUUCUGGUCACGUGUGUGGGUGAGGAUGUAGUUCGGGAGGAUAGGGGAUGGGUAGUAGUUGCCACCAUCCAAACUUGUCCUUAAUGCCCUCCUCUAUGCACAGGUGCCCCGCAUCUCAUUACUUGGUGUCCUCUACUGCUAGCCACCUCCUCCCCUCCCCAGCCCAGACUUGCUACCUGCUCCAGAAUAAUCUAGAUUCCCUUCAUGCUUCUCCUCCUCCCUGGAGUCUGGGCUCAGCUGAACAGCUGGGAGGAAUGAGAUUAGAUUGUAUGAUUCAUGCUUUAGAUGUGAAGCCCUGGCAGAAUAACGUGUCACCUGACUCCAGGGGCAUUUUCAUCUUAAUGGGCAGCUCCCUGACCCAGAGUAAAAAGGGAAGUCAUGGAUGGUAAUGAAUACUCCAUCAGGAGAGGGGUUGUACAAUUGUGGGGAUGUGGUAGACUCAAGCCCCGUAUGGAUGUUGGAUGAAUCAGUAAUUUUCAAACUAGCAUCUGUACAGAGAUUAGUGUUGGGAGCUGAAAGUGUAAGUCACUCAGUCCAUCUGACUCUUUGCGACUCCAUGGACAAUCCAUGGAAUUCUCCAGGCCAGAAUGCUGGAGUCGGUAGCCUUUCUCUUCUCCAGGGGAUCUUCCCAACCCAGGGAUCGAACUCAGGUUCUCCCACAUUGCAGGCCAAUUCUUUACCAGCUGAACCACCAGGGAAACCCUGCUGGUGGGAACUAGCAAAAGAAUAAAGUAGAAGAGGGAGGUUCAAAGACCCCCAUCCUUGUUUCAAGUCCAGUAGCUUAAAAUUUUUUUAAGGAAGAGUUUGCUGCUGUCAGACAUAGUGAGGUGGAUGACCAAUCCUAUUUCAGAUUCUCUAAUUCUCAGGAGGAAUAUGCAUGAGUGUGUGCUCGGUCGCUGAGUUGUGUCCCCCUGGACUGUAACACACAAUGCUCCGCUGUCCAUGGGAUUUUCCAGGCAAGAAUACUGGAGUGGGUUGCCAUUUCCUUCUCCAGAGGAUCUUCUUGACCCAGGGAUUGAACCUGUGUCUCCUGUUUUGACAAGUGAAUUCUUCACCACUCAGCCACCUGGGAUGCUCAGAUAGUAGGAACCCUGCACACUAAAAAGGCAAGGUCUUGAUCCAUUUAAAUCCCAGAACUGAAGACAUACCUACUUGUAGUUAAGAAAUUGGAAGGGCAGGCUGGGGAGGAAGUUGCAAACUUCCCUGCUAAGCCCUGAGGGGAGGGCCAGGUACAGUGCAGCUGUGGAGGAGGGAAGGCAGGGCAAGGCCCAGCCAAAAGGGGACUGGUCACUCCCCAUGUGGGUGGGUUUGGAGCAGGCUCUUGGGGGUUGGGCUUCUGAGUAUCCCCAUCCCACUCCCAAGUCCCAUUGGUCCCUGGUGCACACCAUGGUCAGGAAUAUACGCAAAGGCACACUCACUCAGUGUAUUGUCCUAUCCCUUCAGUGAAUGUUUAUGUUGACAAAGACCGCAGAGCAUACAGGGCCUCCCUCACUGGGACCACACAGAGGACAGACCAAGAAGCCCCACAUCACAACAUCCUCCUGAUGCCUGGGCUGGGCUGGAGCUCACAUGAGGUACUUUGAUUUCUUCUGCAGACUCUCAGUGACAGAUGCUAGAACUGACUUGUCAUCUUUGUCUGAAAGAGCAAAGAAAGUUUUUGUCAGUGUGAAUGACCCUAGGGACAAGGGAACCUCCAAACUCCUGGACUUUGAGUCACUAUGCAGAAACCAGAGGCUGGACCCUGCCUAGGAUCCUCAGUCCUUUCCAGCUGCAGUCUGCCAAGGUCAGCCGAGUGUGUGGGGCCAAGAGUUGCCAGUUAUUCAUUUAAUGUAUGCCACGCAUAGUGCCAGGUGCUUCUAUGCACUAUCUCAUUUAAUCCUCAUAACAGCCUUAAGAAGUAGAUGAGAAAACAAGCUUAGAGUGGCUUGCCAAGGUCACAUGGCUGAUUAGUAUUAGAGCCAGGGCCUUGUGCCCAUGUGCUUAAACCAGAAUUAAGUUGUCAGGGAUCUCUCUAGCUGUGGAAUGAGAGCUGGAUGUCUCCCAUGGUGCCUUCCCUGGCCUAGUUCUGUUACACAGUUCAGCAGCCACUGUGGAGGCAUCAUCUCAGUGCCAGGCACUUAGCUGAGUACUUGAGAGACAGAGCAACAGGACAUGGUCCUUUCCCCAGAGAAAGACAUCUGCAACAGGAUGGUUACAGUCUGUAACCAUGGAGACUGUGGACACCAAUACAUGCCAUGGAAACUUCAGAGAGUGGCAGAGGAGGAGGCUGGAGAGGCCCACCGAGGGUUGCAAACUACCCUGAUGCUGGGAAAGAUUGAAGGCAGGAGGAGAAGGGAACCACAGAGCAUGAGAUGGUUGGAUGGCAUCACCGACCCGACGGACAAUGAGUUUGUGCAAGCUCAGGGAGUUGGUGAUGUACAGGGAAGCCUGGCGUGUUGCAGUCCAUGGGUUCGCAAAGAGUCAGACACAACUGAGCCACUGAACUGAACUGAAGGGUUGCAAACUACAGACUCUUUUUUUUUUUGCCAACUCCCAAAUCUGCAGGGGCCAGAUACAUAACAAAUGAUAUGGAGAAGAUGGCAGAGUGGGUCGAACUUUGGUCAGUUAGAGAAUAUUUACACCACCCCAUGGUAGAUUAAAUAAAAGGUAGUGUCAGCCAUAGGAAAAUAAUCUAUCGACCUCCCACAAGACUGCCAUUUUGCACUUCCACCCCCGGUAGGACUCAGCCUGGGGCGCCCACCACCUCCAGGCCUGCCGGAGGCAGGCUCGGCACCCUCACAGUAGACGGUAAGCUUGCAGCUGCUGAAGUCCUUGCCCAGCUUAUUCUCCACCAGCACGCAGUACUCGCCGCUGUCCUUGAGCGUGCAGGUGGGGAUGACGAUGGUGCACACGCUGCUAGUGGAGAUGUACCAG
ensembl:lncRNA